rnacentral:rRNA from 1 species
CCUACGGGUGGCAGCAGUGGGGAAUAUUGGGCAAUGGGCGCAAGCCUGACCCAGCAACGCCGCGUGAAGGAAGAAGGCUUUCGGUUUGUAAAGCUCUUUUAUCAGGGACGAAGCAAGUGACGGUACCUGAGGAAUAAGCCACGGCUAACUACGUGCCAGCAGCCGCGGUAAUACGUAGGUGGCAAGCGUUAUCCGGAUUUACUGGGUGUAAAGGGCGUGUAGGCGGGUAAGUAAGUCAGAUGUGAAAACCCUGGGCUCAACCUGUGGCCUGCAUUGGAAACUGUUGUUCUUGAGUACAGGAGAGGCAAGCGGAAUUCCUAGUGUAGCGGUGAAAUGCGUAGAUAUUAGGAGGAACACCAGUGGCGAAGGCGG